CCACGUGGAGCCUACCUACGAAAACAUGGCAUUCCUCUGCGUGCAAUCAAACAAUAUUACAAAGUCACCACACAGCCUGUGCAGACAUGCAAUAGGCCUGUCUAAUGAACAAGUCAGUGAGUGCAUGAAAACCUGAGAGCUGUUAAAGAACACAAAAGAAGAUAAUUUGAAGAAUGUUUUGGCUGUUUUAAUCUGUACAAUUAAUGUCAACAGAGUCCAGGGGCUGAAAUGAUUGGUCAUAAGAAGAAAGUAUGUGGCUGAGAAGAAUAAAAGAAAACAGAAAGUGGAAAGAAGUGAGCGGUGUGGACGCAGUCUGUUUAUUUUGGAGUGGUUUUGCACCGGAGCCCAGGCCAUUGGCGGCUCAGAGACCAUCCUCCCGUGUCCCAUGAAGGUGAAGUGGGGUGGGGAGAGAGAGAGAGAGCGAUGGGUCCUCGGGCUGGGGCGGGACCAGGCUCUGCACAGCAGGGAGGACGUGAGCGAAGCGUUCCAAGAGGAAACGGUGAGGCCACACUGUGAUUAGUGGUUGCAGUUUAACUGCAGAAAAAUGCAUGGUCCAAGCCCAGCGAGAGAGGGUGGUUUCACUGGUCUCACCGAGCCUGUGACUCAGGGUCUCUCGGUACUGGACUGGAGUUUGUUUGCGCAGCUCUUUGCUGCAUCUCGUUUUCACAAUUAAUUUUAAAGCAGCAUUUUGUGGCAUUUCCAAGCAUUUAAAUAUGGGGUUUUCCAGAAUUACA